rnacentral:rRNA from 1 species
CCUACGGGCGGCAGCAGUGGGGAAUAUUGCACAAUGGGGGAAACCCUGAUGCAGCAACGCCGCGUGAGUGAAGAAGUAUUUCGGUAUGUAAAGCUCUAUCAGCAGGGAAGAAGAUGACGGUACCUUCGUACGACUCCCCGGCUAACUACGUGCCAGCAGCCGCGGUAAUACGGAGGGGGCAAGCGUUAUCCUGAGUUACUGGGGGUAAAGGGAGCGCAGACGGUGAGACAAGUCUGAAGUGAAAGCCCGGGGCUCAACCCCGGGACUGCUUUGGAAACUGCCGGACUGGAGUGCUGGAGAGGCAAGCGGAAUGCCGAGUGUAGCGGUGAAAUGCGUAGAUAUUAGGAAGAACACCAGUGGCGAAGGCGGCUUGCUGGACAGUAACUGACGUUGAGGCUCGAAAGCGUGGGGAGCAAACAGGAUUAGAUACCCUAGUAGUC